UUUUCAAUAUAAUCUUUACAAACGCAGCAUACCAUUUUAAACAGGUGUAAUGUAAUCCUCUACACAAAUUCCCCAGUUGUUCAAACUAAUUGAUCAUGAUCAAAAAUCACAACAUGAAUCGAAUUUCCAUAUCAGAAAAAUAAAAAAAUUCUCAAUGUAAAAAAACUUUCAUUUGAAAUCGUUUAAUACGUGCGAGCUGUGCUUGAAUAUUUUUUCGCGGAGUGGAAGAGUUUGGAAAUUUCAAGAGCGAAGCAAGCGCAUUUAUCCGAGUCCCGUUGCGUGAAAAAAUUUCAAAUAGGAAAAAGUAAAAUGCAAAUCAAAUCAAUAAUCAUCCUCAUCAUCGCAAUAUCAUGCAUAUCAAUUAUAAAUAAUUUCGAAUGUGCGGCGGAUGGCGUCUCGCAAAUUCCUCCAGCCAACUAUCCACCACAUCCACAUAUCAAACCCAAUAACGGUCCACCGACUAGGCAGUUUCAAAACGGACAUUGGGUGUGGAUAUUCUAAUCAACGGACCAAGAAUGCACCAAACAGAUCACUUGAAGCAAACACGAUACAGAAAUCUAAAUUGGUUUUUUUUUUCGCCAUAGAAAAAGUACAAUGAAAUCAUUUUUCAAGUAGCUAUUUAUUCAUUUCUAAAUAAUUGUUUUAUUUAUUUACCUACUACAUUUAUGUACCUAUAACUUUAUACCAUUACCU